rnacentral:rRNA from 1 species
AUUGAACGCUGGCGGCAGGCCUAACACAUGCAAGUCGAGCGGAAACGAGUUAUCUGAACCUUCGGGGAACGAUAACGGCGUCGAGCGGCGGACGGGUGAGUAAUGCCUAGGAAAUUGCCCUGAUGUGGGGGAUAACCAUUGGAAACGAUGGCUAAUACCGCAUGAUGCCUACGGGCCAAAGAGGGGGACCUUCGGGCCUCUCGCGUCAGGAUAUGCCUAGGUGGGAUUAGCUAGUUGGUGAGGUAAGGGCUCACCAAGGCGACGAUCCCUAGCUGGUCUGAGAGGAUGAUCAGCCACACUGGAACUGAGACACGGCCCAGACUCCUACGGGAGGCAGCAGUGGGGAAUAUUGCACAAUGGGCGCAAGCCUGAUGCAGCCAUGCCGCGUGUGUGAAGAAGGCCUUCGGGUUGUAAAGCACUUUCAGUCGUGAGGAAGGUAGUGUAGUUAAUAGCUGCAUUAUUUGACGUUAGCGACAGAAGAAGCACCGGCUAACUCCGUGCCAGCAGCCGCGGUAAUACGGAGGGUGCGAGCGUUAAUCGGAAUUACUGGGCGUAAAGCGCAUGCAGGUGGUUUGUUAAGUCAGAUGUGAAAGCCCGGGGCUCAACCUCGGAAUAGCAUUUGAAACUGGCAGACUAGAGUACUGUAGAGGGGGGUAGAAUUUCAGGUGUAGCGGUGAAAUGCGUAGAGAUCUGAAGGAAUACCGGUGGCGAAGGCGGCCCCCUGGACAGAUACUGACACUCAGAUGCGAAAGCGUGGGGAGCAAACAGGAUUAGAUACCCUGGUAGUCCACGCCGUAAACGAUGUCUACUUGGAGGUUGUGGCCUUGAGCCGUGGCUUUCGGAGCUAACGCGUUAAGUAGACCGCCUGGGGAGUACGGUCGCAAGAUUAAAACUCAAAUGAAUUGACGGGGGCCCGCACAAGCGGUGGAGCAUGUGGUUUAAUUCGAUGCAACGCGAAGAACCUUACCUACUCUUGACAUCCAGAGAACUUUCCAGAGAUGGAUUGGUGCCUUCGGGAACUCUGAGACAGGUGCUGCAUGGCUGUCGUCAGCUCGUGUUGUGAAAUGUUGGGUUAAGUCCCGCAACGAGCGCAACCCUUAUCCUUGUUUGCCAGCGAGUAAUGUCGGGAACUCCAGGGAGACUGCCGGUGAUAAACCGGAGGAAGGUGGGGACGACGUCAAGUCAUCAUGGCCCUUACGAGUAGGGCUACACACGUGCUACAAUGGCGCAUACAGAGGGCGGCCAACUUGCGAAAGUGAGCGAAUCCCAAAAAGUGCGUCGUAGUCCGGAUUGGAGUCUGCAACUCGACUCCAUGAAGUCGGAAUCGCUAGUAAUCGUGGAUCAGAAUGCCACGGUGAAUACGUUCCCGGGCCU